GCAGCAGAGAUGGGGGUGGGUCAUGAGCUUUUGGGCUCCUGGUUAGGGGUAGGUAGUCUAAUUUUCAGCUACCCAUGGGGUGGGUUAUCCAGUUUUAUAACAAGAAUUGGCACACAUUUAGAAUAAAUUGUUUCUAAAUUGGUUUUUUUCAAUAAUGCUACCAAACUAUUUUCUAAUUUGACUAAUUAUAUGGCAAUGUUACACUCAGAAAUAAUCACCCUCUGUGAGUAACACUGUAUUCACUUUCUGCAUCCGACCUAAUUAGUGACAUCCCUGGAAGACGAUCAGCCCUGAUACAAAAGUGCCAGUGGAGCUGUUCUCUUUUCUGGAUUUUGGUCCAACAGGAUCAUCUUAGACAGACCUGUGAAUACCGUUGGACAAAGGAUGUAGAGAGGGAAAGGUGCAUCUGAUACUGAAACUCCAUCUCUCCCUCCUCCUGCAUGAGAAGAUUUAGAUGUUGAUGCUGAUCUGCCUCUACCGCCCCCUCUAAUCCCCAGAAUCACUAAAAUAAAAUAGAAUACAAGAACAAGGACACUGGUAGCCAUGGACACAAAACAGGAAAGGAUAGCAGGGAUUCACAAAGAGUGUUUUAAGUGCGGAGGAAGAGGGAAGAGAGGGGGCUGUGGUAGCCGUGGUGGAUGUGGCCCCCACAGUGGACAGGAUUGCCAUGCCUACCACAUCACCCUAAAUUUAAAUUAAAUUUAUUAAAAUGAA
rnacentral:lncRNA from 1 species